GCACACUUAGCUCAGUGGAUCAGAGCACCCCACGAAAGUGAUUACGCCUUUGUCACCUUCUUUCCGGGGAGGCGCCGGGUUCGAGUCCCUCAAUGUGUA